GCUGGGUGUGGUGGUGUGCACCUGUAAUCACAGCUACUCGGGAGGCUGAGGCAGGAGAAUCACUUGAACUCAGGAGGCAGAGGUUGCAGUGAGCAGAGAUCGUGCCACUGCACUUCAGCCUGGGUGACAGAGUGAGACUCUGUCUCAA
ensembl:misc_RNA Metazoa_SRP Metazoan signal recognition particle RNA